GUGUCUUUAUUUAGAGACAGGGAGUCAAUGCUGAGACCAAGGUGUCUUUACUUAGACAGGGAGUCAAUGCUGUGACCAAGGUGUCUUUAUUUAGAGACAGGGAGUCAAUGCUGAGACCAAGGUGUCUUUAUUUAGAGACAGGGAGUCAAUGCUGAGACCAAGGUGUCUUUAUUUAGAGACAGGGAGUCAAUGCUGAGACCAAGGUGUCUUUAUUGAGACAGGGAGAGGUAGAGGUCAUGUGAUGUAAUUACACAGGCCGAUGCUGCAGGGAUGUAGAGGUCAUGUGAUGUAAUUACACAGGCCGAUGCUGCAGGGAUGUAAUGAGGUGGUGUAAUUACACAGGCCGAUGCUGCAGGGAUGUAAUGAGGUGAUGUAAUUACACAGGCCGAUGCUGCAGGGAUGUAGAGGUCAUUUGAAGCAGCCUUUCUUCCAUCGCGUGUUUGGAACAAUGACAAAGACAUCGGCAACUUUGUAUUCUGUCGUCAACUCCGCUCUGAAGUGACCUGGCGGGCACCGUCAGGCAGAGAUCAACA
ensembl:lncRNA